rnacentral:rRNA from 1 species
UACAGAGGUCUCAAGCGUUGUUCGGAUUCAUUGGGCGUAAAGGGUGCGUAGGUGGCGGGGUUAGUCAGGUGUGAAAUCUCGGGGCUCAACCCCGAAACUGCACUUGAUACUGCCUUGCUAGAGUACUGGAGAGGAGAGUGGAAUUUACGGUGUAGCAGUGAAAUGCGUAGAUAUCGUAAGGAAGACCAGUGGCGAAGGCGAAUCUCUGGACAGUUACUGACACUGAGGCACGAAGGCCAGGGGAGCAAACGGG